rnacentral:rRNA from 1 species
AAGGUAACGUCAAGACCCAGGGGUAUUAUCCCCAGGCUUUUCUUCCCAAUUGAAAGUGCUUUACAACCCGCAGGCCUUCUUCACACACGCGGCAUUGCUGGAUCAGGCUUGCGCCCAUUGUCCAAUAUUCCCC